GUACGUACCUGACAGGUGAGAUACCAUGAUCAUGAAGGUGUUUUUCCUAGGGCAAGACUUAUCCAGGGAACUCCAGAUGUGAUGACCCUUGCAAUUACCCCAAAUAUGGUAAACUCAUAAUUUGUGGUAGUGGGGGAAUGUGUUCAAACCCUCCUCUG
rnacentral:snRNA from 1 species